UACGAACUGUGCGAACGUUAUUCGGAAUCACUGGGCUUACAGGGUGCGUAGGCGGCCUGACAAGUAGGGUGUGAAAGCCCUCGGCUCAACCGGGGAAUGGCGCCCUAAACUGUCGGGCUGGAGUGAGAUAGGGGUGUGCGGAACUUCCGGUGGAGCGGUGAAAUGUGUUGAUAUCGGAAGGAACGCCGGUGGCGAAAGCGGCACACUGGAUCUCAACUGACGCUGAGGCACGAAAGCCAGGGGAGCGAACGGG
rnacentral:rRNA from 1 species